AGCGAACGCUGGCGGCAGGCCUAACACAUGCAAGUCGAGCGCUCGUAGCAAUACGAGAGCGGCAGACGGGAGAGUAACACGUGGGAACGUACCCUUUGGUUCGGAACAACACAGGGAACUUGUGCUAAUACCGAUAAGCCCUUACGGGAAGAUUUAUCGCCGAAGGAUCGGCCCGCGUCUGAUUAGCUAGUUGGUGGGGU
rnacentral:rRNA from 1 species